UAUUAUUUCGGUGUGUUGAUUCGGACAAAUAUUGGGUCUGCACCUGCCUACUUUUCGUGUCUAAAAACUUUCAUUUAGAUAAGCUACCUAAGCAGUACUUUCAUAUUAUCAGAUUGCCUCUUGUACUGAAAACCUAGGCUGAAUUUGCAGAAUUUUAAAAUGGCAUCAAGUUUAACUGAAAUCGCUGAUUGGUAUGCCAGCUGAAGCUCCCACAGACCCGGACAUUAUUCACAGCCAGCAGGCCUGUCAGCGGAGAUAACGCAUGGUGGAUCCGCCUUCCCGCUUUCCCGCCUUCCUGCCCGGAAAAUGGGAGAAGAGUGAGUGGUGGCAUGCGGCAGGGCUCCGCCCCCAGUUCCGCCCCCCCAGCGCCGCCUUCCAGCUCCGCCCCCAGCUCCGCCCAGCUCCCGCCUCCCUGAUAGCUCUGCAGUGCAGACUGCCGCUGACAGAUUUCUCUACAACAGACAAAAAGUCCACCGUUCGGCUAUGAGCGAGAGUCCUGCGACAAGAACGUCGCUGCUGGGAGGCCGUAUUCCGCUCCAGCCCGAGCGAAGCGCGGCGCUAAUCGGCU